rnacentral:rRNA from 1 species
AUACGGAGGGUGCAAGCGUUACUCGGAAUUACUGGGCGUAAAGGACGCGUAGGCGGUUUAGAAAGUCAGAUGUGAAAGCCUAUGGCUUAACCAUAGAACUGCAUUUGAAACUUCCAAACUAGAGUGGGGGAGAGGUCAGUGGAAUUAGUGGUGUAGGGGUAAAAUCCGUAGAGAUCACUAGGAAUACUCAUUGCGAAGGCGACUGACUGGAACUUAACUGACGCUGAGGCGUGAAAGCGUGGGAAGCAAACAGGAUUAGAAACCCGGGUAGUCC